rnacentral:rRNA from 1 species
UGUGGAACUUAAAAAUCAACAGCCACCUCACAACAAAAUUCAACCUACCAGGCUCACCAAAACAUGAUGCUGGCUCACAUUUUUCGGUUGGGGCGACCUUGGAGAAAAACAAAACCUCCAAAAAUAAGACCACCCCUCUUAACCAAGAGCAACCCCUCGACGUGCUAAUAGUAACCAGACCCAAUACAAUUGACCAAUGGACCAAGCUACCCCA